rnacentral:lncRNA from 10 species
CUCGGGUCCCCUUCCGCCCUGUAGAAGCUUUGUUCUUUUGCUCUUUGCAAUAAAUCUUGCUACUGCUCACUCUUUGGGUCCACGCUGCUUUUAUGACCUGUAACAUUCACCACGAAGAUCUGCAGCUUCACUCCUGAGCCCAGCGAGACCACGAGCCCACCGGGAGGAACGAACAACUCCAGAUGGGCUGCCUUAAGAGCUGUAAUACUCACCGCCAAUGUCUGCAGCUUCACUCCUGAGCCAGCGAGACCACGAACCCACCAGAAAGAAGAAACUCCGAACAGAUCUGAACAUCAGAAGGGACAGACUCCAGACGCACCACCUUAAGAGCUGUAACACUCACUGCGAGGGUCCGCGGCUUCAUUCUUGAAGUCAGUGAGACCAAGAACCCACCAAUUCCGGACACAAUUGGAUCAUGGGAGCAGACUUCUUGUUUAUGUUCUCAUUAUAGCCAUGACCACAGAUAAAAUUGUGACAUAUGUGGACAGUACACCUAAGCAAAGCUUCCUGGGCCUGACUACCAAGGAUACUUUUACAUAUCAUUGGGACUAGCAUCAAGGUCAUAUUGUGCCAUAUACCUAACACCACUUAAGAUGACUAAUCAUGAAU